GGGAAGGUGGCUCAGUGGUAGAGCGGUUGCCUUGCAUGCCUCAGGUCUUGGGUUCGAUUCCUCAGCACCCCA
rfam:Dipodomys ordii contig_22684, whole genome shotgun sequence.